rnacentral:rRNA from 1 species
CAGUAGCCACGGUAAUACGUAGGUGGCAAGCGUUGUCCGGAAUUAUUGGGCGUAAAGCGCGCGCAGGUGGUUUAAUAAGUCUGAUGUGAAAGCCCACGGCUCAACCGUGGAGGGUCAUUGGAAACUGUUAAACUUGAGUGCAGGAGAGAAAAGUGGAAUCCCUAGUGUAGCGGUGAAAUGCGUAGAGAUUAGGAGGAACACCAGUGGCGAAGGCGGCUUUUUGGCCUGUAACUGACACUGAGGCGCGAAAGCGUGGGGAGCAAACAGGAUUAGAUACCCGCGUAGUCCCUGUCUCUUAUAC